GUUUCCGUAGGUGAACCUGCGGAAGGAUCAUUAACGGAUAGUUGCUUUGCUUGCUCGCUUUGCUUGCUUGCUAAAGAAACAAUCAAUAUCCAAACCUUUACCACUUGAACGCCAAUUGCCCGUUAGCAAUCAUUGCUAAUGAGCUGAUCAUGUGUUGGUUCUACAUGUCAGUGUGACCCAGAGAAAGGCUAACCCUCUUACUCGGUACAACUCCCUUGAACGCUUGCCGUUUAACUUGUCUGUGCACGCCAUGCAUACUGUCUCUACCACGCCAAGUAAGCCAUUUAGGUUGAUUCAUUUUGGGCAAUCAUGAAAUGAAUCACCACCUAAUGGUGGCUGUUGGUCGAGAAAGAUAGCAUACAGUGCUUCUAAGCAGACUAACCAAACUGAAGCACCCGUACCGGUGUAGUUACCAGCCAAUUAUCACACACACCCAAUGACAUGAACUUUCCAUGAAAGCUCUCCUUGUAUCCAUUCGAUUGGUGCCUAGUCUGCGUUUCCUGCCAAACUAACCUUUGGCGAUGGAUGCAGGGUGUCAGCAACUAGCAACUCUUUUGGGUAGCUUCUGCUGCUGCUAGGCUUAAAUAUCUACGCCAAGCGCCGAAGCCUCGAAUGCAAGGUUCUCGCGUGCAGCACACAUUCACAUGUGAGCAGUACGUUGAGUGAGACUGUCUCUGGACGGUUACAGUCUUCACAGACUGUAGCCACCAGACGUUCAGUUUUCAUUCUCUAAACUCAACUUAAGCCAAAAUCAAAACUGAUUAACCUUAAAUUGUUCCCUUGACGGGUCAAUUUAUAAAAAGACAAUUACAACUGUUAGUGGUGGAUCACUCGGCACGCUGAUCGAGGAAGAACGCAGCUAGCUGCGUUAAUCGGUAUAAAAUGCAGGACAUGCCGAAUACUCGACUUUCGAACGCAUAUUGCAGCCUUGGUCAUACCUUGGCUUCGUUUGUCUGAGCGUCGUUAACAAGCCAAAAACUAUCAAAAGGUCCGUUCACCUUCGUAUCCUAACCUUCCAUUGGUUGAUUCGUCGGGCCACCUUUAAACACUACUUUAAAAUGUACUUUUGUCAUUUUAAUGUGCCCAUACGAGCGUAAAGACAGUUAACCAUACUGAUCUUUUUUGCGUGCCAAUACAUGCCAGUCUCCUAACCGAGAAUGGUAUUUGGAUGUAGGGCUUUUGACACUACAUGUCAAAAUGCUUGAGCAAUUAGAUCGGGUUCCAUACCUUAUGGUACCAAUGUAUGUUUGCCUUUACAUUUAACAGUCUCGAAUGGUUAAUGCAACAUUAAUCUGCUUGUACAGUUUACUUGAGAAGUGUCACAAUAGUUUAUACCUUACUAGUCGUUGACCGUUAAAAAGUCAAUCUUCUGGUUGUUAACCUUCGACCUCAGGUCAAGCGAGAUUA
rnacentral:rRNA from 1 species